CGAAUGGCUUCACGUCCGGCUCCAUCCCCGAGAAGUCGAGCCUCUGGACUUCUGGGUCAAAAGAAAAGAGGUUUUGUCUUCCAUCGUUUCUGCUCAGUUUGUUCAGCUGGUCUGUUUCUCUUCCAUACUUCAUCAGCUCUGGAUGCAUGCUUCUCUCCAGGCUUUCCAGGAUGUUUUCUGAUUUUCCCUGCGUGCUUGAUUCAUCAUCUUGUGCAGCUUCCACAGUAUCUUUCUUCUCCUGCACCGAACUCUCAGUAUUGCUCUGAAUGAUCUUUCUCAGAGUCACCAGCCACUCUUCCAUCUCCUGCUCACUCUCAGCUGCAAGGUAGUGGCUGUACUUGUCUAUGGUCUUGAGUUCAAAUGCAUAGCGGCGCAUUUUGGGACACUGUACAACAUCAUUACAAGCAUCCAGGAAAAUAC
rnacentral:lncRNA from 1 species